UAUGGCUUCUAACCUGGAAGUCUUGCUGUUCUGCCUCCAGGUGCACGAGCUGCACAGGGCGCCCUUGUCCGUCGCUUGGUUGCUGCUGUCAGAAUCCGCCGGUGAAAGUGCUGCCAGGAUGUACAGCUUAGUUCGGUACUUUCUUUUCUAUACACAUCCUGUGGGUCUUCACUGUGCAGCGUCUAACAGUAGUCUCCUAACAAGCUGACGCUCCAUCUUCCCUGGUAACAUCAUUCAAUCUCCUUUGUGGUUCCUUGCUCCUAACUAAUGGCUCUAAGGCUCUCUGGAAAAAUGUUUAUUGCUUGCAAGAUGUGGUUUCUCUGGAAAAGGAAAGCAGCCAGCUACAUCAGCUUGGACAAAAGGGCAGAGCAGUCACGUUGGGUUCCUCCUCUACAGGUAAUCCAGUGACAAUAUUUAUUGUUUACAAGCCAUGCCAAGCAGGAUCUGUGUGACAGCAAGAAGCAGAGCACAGGUGCGGGAACAGGAAGAAGUGCUACAGAACCCAGGACACCUUCCUCCUCAGAUUCACCCCUCGCUCUCCGGCUCUUCCAGGAUGUAAGCUAUAACUGGACCUGCGCGGCAUUGAAGGCUGAUCCAGAUGGACGGAAGAACGAGCGUGAGAUUCUAUGAUGACCACAACGCUUACGGCAAGCCGUGACGCCGCAUAGCUCCAUUUCCUACGGCCGCCGUUGAACUUGGCGCUUUUUGUGUGACACUAUU